rnacentral:lncRNA from 1 species
UAACCUAGCAGUAAGAAGAAAACACAGACAUUUGAAUGCCUCUACACCGAAAUACAUGUUUUUCCUGUCAUUUAUGUAGAAGAACUUUGCAAGAAAAAUCUAGUGUUAUUUCCUUCAUGCCCUGCUGCUUCGAGAUACAAACUAUUUUUAAGAAACUUGGUACUGACGCAAAGAUCUUCUUUUGAAUAUAGUGGAGUAGAAGGACCCUAAGCUCACCUCCUGAACACACCCAAAUCACCAUCUGAAGAACUAUCUGCAGAACAACUGUCAUUGAAAAACACUGAAACCUACGAGAGAAGAUCCUCUACAACUAAAGAUAUAACAACUAAAGCCUAUCCCCCCAGGUGGGUGACACACAGAUAAGAGAAUAAUUAUAUUACACAGGUUUUCUCAUGGGAGUGAGAUUCUGAGCCCCACAUCAGUCCUUCCAGUCCAGAGGUCUGGCAGUGGGAAAAUAUGACUUUUUCCAUGGUUCUUCUAGUUUCUAUUUCACUUAUUCCUUCUCUGAUUUUAUUAUUUCAUUCCUUCUGUGAACUUUAGGUUGAGUUUGUCCUUGAGGUAUAACAUUGGGCUGCUUAUUUGCGAUCUUUCAUAAUGUAGGCCUUUGUCACUAUUAACUAUUCUCUUAGAACUGUUUGUGCUGCAUCUCAUAAGUUUUGGUGUGUUGUGUUUCCACUUUUAUUUGUCUUGAGAUAUUUUUUGAUAUCCCUUUUGACUUAUUCUUUGACCAAAUGGUUGGUCAGAAGUAUGUUAUUUAACUUCCACAUAUUUAUGAAUUAUACAACUUUCCUUCUAUUAUUGAUUUCUAGUUUCAUUUCAUUGUGGUCAGAAAAGACACUUGAUGUGGACUUCAAGCUUCUUAAAUUUGUUAAGACUUCUCAUGUGAACUAAUGUAAGAUCUAUCCUGGAAAAUGUUCCAUGUGUACGUUGAAAGAAUGUGUAUGCUGUUGCUCUUGGAUGGAAUGUACUGAAUAUGUCUGUUAGAUCCAUCUGACCCAUGGUGUUGUUUAGGUAUGCUGUUUCCUGAUAGAUAUUUUGUCUGAAUGAUCUAUCCAUUGUUAAAACUGGGAUAUUGAAGUCACCUACUAUUAUUGUAUAUGUCUAUUCCUCCCAUUUAGUUUUACUAAUACUUGCUUUAUUUUUAGGUACACUGAAGUACCUAAAUUUUGGUGCAUUAUAUAUUAU